CGCCGCCACAUAAUGUGCUCAGUAUUUCCCCGAACCGGAAAGGUGGUAGGAAAUUAAUAUUGAAGUCAAUUCCCUCAUUUCCAUCACUUAUGUGAGAGUCAAACAGUGGUUCUGCAAUGAACGAUACCGAUAACACAUUCAGCGCAUCGCCUCUCGUUUUAGGACCAUCUUAAAGUUAUGAAGUCGACUAUGGGACCGACUUGUAGUCCAAAUAUGUGCCUCACAUCCUACGCCUGCAGCAAGGCUCGAGGUACUGUCAGAGAAUAGUAAGUUAGAUUUAAGAUGCAGUGAUCUGUAUUUGUAAAAUAUGUAGCCUCUCAAUAAUCUGUAUGUAAGAUGAUGUGUCUUGUAGCUGUUAUUUUUAUUGAAUUGUAGUAACACUAUAAAUCACCUCUUGAGGAGGUUCCACAAUUCCAUUCCAUGUUUCUCGUCGCAAA